CACGUAGGGGGCGAGCGUUGUCCGGAUUUAUUGGGCGUAAAGAGCUCGUAGGCGGCUCGGUAAGUCAGGUGUGAAACCUCCAGGCUCAACUUGGAGACGCCACCUGAUACUGCCGUGGCUAGAGUCCGGUAGAGGAGCGUAGAAUUCCUGGUGUAGAGGUGAAAUUCGUAGAUAUUAGGAAGAACACCAGUGGCGAAGGCGGCUCACUGGCCCGGUACUGACGCUGAGACGCGAAAGCGUGGGGAGCAAACAGG
rnacentral:rRNA from 1 species